rnacentral:misc_RNA from 1 species
GAACUGCGAUAAGUAAUGUGAAUUGCAGAAUUCAGUGAAUCAUCGAGUCUUUGAACGCACAUUGCGCCCCCUGGCAUUCCGGGGGGCAUGCCUGUCCGAGCGUCAUUGCUGCCCUUCAAGCCCGGCUUGUGUGUUGGGUCGUCGUCCCCUCCGGGGGACGGGCCCGAAAGGCAGCGGCGGCACCGCGUCCGGUCCUCGAGCGUAUGGGGCUUUGUCACCCGCUCGAUAAGGACCGGCCGGGCGCCAGCCGGCGUAUCCAACCUUUUUUUCUCAGGUUGACCUCGGAUCAGGUAGGGAUACCCGCUGAACUUAAGC